GAUCAUGGCUCAGGAUGAACGCUGGCGGCGUGCCUAAUACAUGCAAGUCGAACGCAUACUUCGGUAGUGAGUGGCGAACGGGUGAGUAACACGUAGGUAACUUACCUCUAAGACGAGGAUAACGACUGGAAACGGUCGCUAAAACUGGAUAGGAUCAUUUGAGGCAUCUCGAAUGAUUUAAAGGGGCUUUCAAGCCACACUUAGAGAAAGGCCUGCGGCGCAUUAGCUAGUUGGUGGGGUAGAGGCCUACCAAGGCGAUGAUGCGUAGCCGGACUGAGAGGUCGAACGGCCACAUUGGGACUGAGACACGGCCCAAACUCCUACGGGAGGCAGCAGUAGGGAAUCUUCCGCAAUGGACGAAAGUCUGACGGAGCAACGCCGCGUGAGUGAAGAAAGGUUUUCGGAUCGUAAAACUCUGUUGUCAGAGAAGAACAAGUUGGAGAGUAACUGCUCCAGCCUUGACGGUAUCUGACCAGAAAGCCACGGCUAACUACGUGCCAGCCGCCGC
rnacentral:rRNA from 1 species